GACGAACGCUGGCGGCGUGCCUAAUACAUGCAAGUCGAGCGAAGUUUUUCUGGUGCUUGCACUAGAAAAACUUAGCGGCGAACGGGUGAGUAACACGUAAAGAACCUGCCUCAUAGACUGGGACAACUAUUGGAAACGAUAGCUAAUACCGGAUAACAGCAUUAACUGCAUGGUUGAUGUUUAAAAGUUGGUUUUGCUAACACUAUGGGAUGGCUUUGCGGUGCAUCAGCUAGUUGGUGGGGUAAAGGCCUACCAAGGCGACGAUGCGUAGCCGACCUGAGAGGGUGAUCGGCCACACUGGGACUGAGACACGGCCCAGACUCCUACGGGAGGCAGCAGUAGGGAAUCUUCCGCAAUGGGCGAAAGCCUGACGGAGCAACGCCGCGUGAGUGAAGAAGGAUUUCGGUUCGUAAAGCUCUGUUGUUAGGGAAGAAUGAUUGUGUAGUAACUAUACACAGUAGAGACGGUACCUAACCAGAAAGCCACGGCUAACUACGUG
rnacentral:rRNA from 1 species